rnacentral:rRNA from 1 species
UAUGAAUAAGGAUCGGCUAACUCCGUGCCAGCAGCCGCGGUAAUACGGAGGAUCCGAGCGUUAUCCGGAUUUAUUGGGUUUAAAGGGAGCGUAGAUGGAUGUUUAAGUCAGUUGUGAAAGUUUGCGGCUCAACCGUAAAAUUGCAGUUGAUACUGGAUGUCUUGAGUACAGUUGAGGCAGGCGGAAUUCGUGGUGUAGCGGUGAAAUGCUUAGAUAUCACGAAGAACUCCGAUUGCGAAGGCAGCUUACUAACCUGUAACUGACAUUGAUGCUCGAAAGUGUGGGUAUCAAACAGGAUUAGAUACCCUGGUAGUCCACACGGUAAACGAUGAAUACUCGCUGUUUGCGAUAUACGGUAAGCGGCCAAGCGAAAGCGUUAAGUAUUCCACCUGGGGAGUACGCCGGCAACGGUGAAACUCAAAGGAAUUGACGGGGGCCCGCACAAGCGGAGGAACAUGUGGUUUAAUUCGAUGAUACGCGAGGAACCUUACCCGGGCUUGAAUUGCAACCGAAUAUGGCGGAAACGCCAUAGCUAGCAAUAGCGGUUGUGAAGGUGCUGCAUGGUUGUCGUCAGCUCGUGCCGUGAGGUGUCGGCUUAAGUGCCAUAACGAGCGCAACCCUUGCCGAUAGUUACUAACAGGUCAUGCUGAGGACUCUGUCGGGACUGCCAUCGUAAGAUGUGAGGAAGGUGGGGAUGACGUCAAAUCAGCACGGCCCUUACGUCCGGGGCUACACACGUGUUACAAUGGGGGGUACAGAGGGCUGCUACCACGCAAGUGGAUGCCAAUCCCAAAAACCUCUCUCAGUUCGGAUUGAAGUCUGCAACCCGACUUCAUGAAGCUGGAUUCGCUAGUAAUCGCGCAUCAGCCACGGCGCGGUGAAUACGUUCCCGGGCCUUGUACACACCGCCCGUCAAGCCAUGGGAGCCGGGGGUACCUGAAGUGCGUAACCGCAAGGAGCGCCCUAGGGUAAAACUGGUGACUGGGGCUAAGUCGUAACAAGGUAGCCGUACCGGAAGGUGCGGCUG